CAAGAAAUAGUUUAAUUAAAAUUUUAAUUUUGGAGAUUAAAGAUAAGAUAUUAUCUUUUUCUUGA
rnacentral:tRNA from 1 species